GGUCUUAUUGUGUCCUUCCGAGAACGUUAUCUCCAUUAAACACUAUAUCGAUAUUUCUUUCUUUAUUAAAAACCUUGAUUUCGUAAAAAGAUAAAGGUUAGGACAAACUGAUUCAAACACAUUUGUUUACAGUCUAGUAAUCUUAUACUGUAUCUUGUAAAAGUGUUGCAUUGCUUGUUAUAUGUUGCAAAAGCUUUAUGUUUCAUGCAUAUAGAUAAUGUUAUCUGAUCAUAUAUAGGAUAUCU
rnacentral:lncRNA from 1 species